GAUGAACGCUGGCGGCGUGCCUAAUACAUGCAAGUCGAGCGAACGGACGAGAAGCUUGCUUCUCUGAUGUUAGCGGCGGACGGGUGAGUAACACGUGGAUAACCUACCUAUAAGACUGGGAUAACUUCGGGAAACCGGAGCUAAUACCGGAUGAUAUUUUGAACCGCAUGGUUCAAAAGUGAAAGACGGUCUUGCUGUCACUUAUAGAUGGAUCCGCGCUGCAUUAGCUAGUUGGUAAGGUAACGGCUUACCAAGGCAACGAUGCAUAGCCGACCUGAGAGGGUGAUCGGCCACACUGGAACGGAGCCACGGUCCAGACUCCUACGGGAGGCAGCAGUAGGGAAUCUUCCGCAAUGGGCGAAAGCCUGACGGAGCAACGCCGCGUGAGUGAUGAAGGUCUUCGGAUCGUAAAACUCUGUUAUUAGGGAAGAACAUAUGUGUAAGUAACUGUGCACAUCUUGACGGUACCUAAUCAGAAAGCCACGGCUAACUACGUG
rnacentral:rRNA from 1 species